GAUGAAGAACGCAGCGAAAUGCGAUAAGUAGUGUGAAUUGCAGAAUUCAGUGAAUCAUCGAAUCUUUGAACGCACAUUGCGCCCUUUGGUAUUCCUUAGGGCAUGCCUGUUCGAGCGUCAUUUAAACCUUCAAGCUCAGCUUGGUGUUGGGUGACUGUCCGCCGCCUCCGUGCGGUCGGACUCGCCUCAAAUUGAUUGGCGGCCGGUACUUUGGCUUCGAGCGCAGCAGAAACGCGAACUCGAGGCCGUCGUCCUGGCUCCCAGAAGCUAUCUUCACAAUUUUGACCUCGGAUCAGGUAGGGAUACCCGCUGAACUUAAGCAUAUCAAUAAGCGGAGGA
rnacentral:misc_RNA from 1 species